CCGGGCGGGUGAGGGAGGCGGGAGGCGGCCCCGAUGCACUUUACCGGCGCCCUGGAGCCCAGCCUGCCCCGCCAAGCAUGCAGCGCCGCCCGGGAGCCGCGGACGCCGCCUCGGUUUUGCUGUUUGCUUGGUUCCAUUUUUCUUUCUUUUUUUUUUUAAAGAAAAAAUAAAAGGUGGAUUU